rnacentral:lncRNA from 1 species
UUUUAACCAGAGAGCUAUUUAGGUGCUCUCUGUUUGUAUGUAUUUGUGAGGAAGGAGGAGACUGAAGCUGUGACCGACCUAGUAUGACUUUGUGCCUCUUUGUAGACUGUUUUUUCUCAUUUCGACAUCUGGGCUUUUCUUUCUCAAUGGAGAUUCCUGAAGACAGCUAAGACAUGAGCUUCCUUGCCACUGGCUGCCUGCAAGGUGGUUGGCACUGGGGUACUCAGACUGUAGUUCUAAACAAAGUGAUAUAAAAACUUUUUUUCCCAACCUGAAUUAUGCAAGGAGAAGAACAAGUAGUCCUUUCCAUCAGUGGAAACACAGCUGAAGGGAACGUAGGGCAGAGAGAAAAUGGACAGUACUCUGAAGGUGUACGCAGACUAGAGGAAUGUCUUCUACUAAUACUGCAUCUAUAUAAAAUGGCUGGAACAUACAGCCAAAUAUGGCCUUGGUCAAGCUGGACCCUUGAGAGAGUCUUCUCAUGCUGUCAAUAGAAGCAAAUACUACAGAGCAGAAGAGAGCUAACUGUCCCUUUGAUGCUGUAAAUGAUGACAGUGAAGAAAUCAGAGUGGGUAUAGCUGUGAACAUGGGCCAUAAAAGGCUGCAGCCACUGCCGGGAGCUUACUUUAGAAACUCACAGGGCAGAUCUCCAAGAUCACAGUGUCUGCCAGGCAGAAGAUGGUGAAAGCAUGAAACAGCCACAACCUUCUUCCAUGAGGGCAUGAGGCAAGAUGGUUAGAGACCGCAGAUGGCUCUUAUAUGAUGUUCAGUUUUGGGAAAUGAUAUGUCAGCCCCAUUGUCCAAGAUAUUUAACCGUCAAGAGAAGUAACAAUGCUCAUCAAGUAAUAUUAUGACAGACUGUAAGACAAUAAAAUGAAAUAAGUAUGGGGUGUAUGGGCUUUAUUUUAAGUGAAUGUGGAAAUUUAUAAUCUCCG